rnacentral:rRNA from 1 species
GUCCUUUAGUUAAAAAUAAUUUAAGGUCUAACCUGCCCAUUGAUUAAAUUAAAAGGCCGCAGUAAUUUGACUGUGCAAAGGUAGCAUAAUCAUUAGUUUUUUAAUUAAAAGCUUGUAUGAAUGGUUGGACGAGAUAAAAUCUGUCUCUUUAUAAAAAAUAGAAUUUAAUUUUUAAGUUAAAAAGCUUAAAUUUAAAUAAAAGACGAGAAGACCCUAUAGAUCUUUAUAUAAUUUUUUUUAGUAUUAAUAAAGAAAAUUUUAUUUAUUAAUUAAAUUUAUAUUUUAUUGGGGUAAUAAAAAGAUUAAAAAAAUUCUUUUAAAUUUAACAUAAAUUAUUGAUUACAUGAUCCAUUAUUAAUGAUUAUAAGAUUAAGUUACCUUAGGGAUAACAGCGUAAUUUUUUUAGAGAGUUCUUAUCAAUAAAAAAGUUUGCGACCUCGAUGUUGGAUUAAAAGUAAUUCUGGGUGCAGAAGUUCGGAGUUUUGGUCUGUUCGACCAUUAAAUUUUU